UCUCUCUCUAAAACCAAAAUAGGGGCCCACAUCUAUAUUAUAAAAAUAUAAAAUACAAGCAAAAAUGAUAAAUUAGAAGAAAUAGAAAAACUUUUGAAUCGUCAGAGAGAUAAAAGAAAAAUAAAAAUAAAAAUAAAAACUUAUAUAAAAAUAAGAUUUUAUGUCAAACGCAGAUCUCAAGAUAAUUUUAAACUUUUAUUAGUGUUUUUUUUCAAUACAAUGUACAUAUAAAUAAUGCUAAUUAUAUAAAAACAAUUAAAAUGAAGCUUUUGAAAGUGGGGGCCGUAGGCCCAGGUUUUACUAUGCUCUGUUCAGGGACGCCCACACACUCACACUCUCUCUCACUCUCACUCUCACUAUCUCUGCACUCACACUCUCUCUCACUCUCACUCUCACUAUCUCUCUCUCUCUCUCUCUGUCAAUCUCUCUUACACUCACUCUCACUCUCUCUCUCUCUCACAAUCUCUCUCACUCACUCUCUCUCUCUCUCUCUCCCUCUCUCUCUCUCUCAUAGACACUUAAAAUUAUAUCAUUGAUAUGGUUCGUUUUUUAUACUGUUUAUUUAAAAAUAUAAUACAGUGUAAUACAUUACUUCUGCUUAAUGUCACUACAAAAAGGGAUUUGAUAGCAUAAUAUAAUAUCAUUGUUUUAUUUCUGAUUUUAGUUUAUACUAAUAACACUUAAUUAACGCUCUUUUGAAAAAUUAGUGAGUGGAAGCAGAAAAUUACUAUACCGCCAAUACUUAGCUGAAAAUCAGACUUCAUCGCCAAAUACAUAAUUUAAGCGAUUUCAAUAAAGCUAUCAAUGACAUAAGAUAGCAUUUUUCAUACGCUAAUAAAAUUCAUUUUUCAAUUAUUAUACUUCAAACACUAAAACUCUAAACCUAAACUAUAUGCCAAAUAAUACACUUAAAUUUUAUAUCUAACACAAUUGUAAUUUUUAACGUAUUUAGUUUUAUAACUUUAACUUUAUAACUAAUUCUUAAUAUUUAUACUUAAUAAUUAAUUUUACAAUUUAUAAAUCUUAAAUUCAAAAUUAAACUCCAAACCCUAUAUCUAAACUCCAAACUCUAUCCCCCAAACCCCAAUACUUUACUUCAAACCCUAUACUAUACCACAAACCAUAAAUCUAAACACUAAAACUAAUAUUUUCAAACUUAAACACCAAAUCUUAACACAUAAACUACAAAUCAAAUAUUUUCAAAUUUUAUUCUCAAAAUUUUGUGGCUAUAGCAAUUUGAAACCCUAAACUUUUUAAAAAAUUCUAAACUCUAAACAUAAGACUUAAAACUCUAAUCUUUUCACACUAUAACCUCAAAUCUUAAAUUUACACUACUCAAAAUUGAAUCUUUUAAAUUUUCAAUCAAAAUUUAUACCCUAAACAUUCAUUAAAAUC
rnacentral:lncRNA from 1 species